CAACGAUCAGAGGAAGGAUCCCAUGACGAUCCGAGACUUGGCCAUGUUGCUGGGAUCCAUGUUAUAUUCGGUCUGUGAACAGGCUAAAGUCUUCUUCUGCAACUUUUCAGACAUUGUGGGGGCUAUUCCCAUGACCGGUUCUGUGCUGAAGGAUGUGCAAACCUUACAGAAGAUGUACAACACAGUUUACUACAGUGACGAUUGGUCAUCAUCGGA